CCUACGGGAGGCAGCAGUGAGGAAUAUUGGUCAAUGGCCGUAAGGCUGAACCAGCCAAGUCGCGUGAAGGAAGAAGGAUCUAUGGUUUGUAAACUUCUUUUAUAGGGGAAUAAAGGUAUCCACGUGUGGAUAUUUGCAUGUACCCUAUGAAUAAGCAUCGGCUAACUCCGUGCCAGCAGCCGCGGUAAUACGGAGGAUGCGAGCGUUAUCCGGAUUUAUUGGGUUUAAAGGGUGCGUAGGUUGUUUUUUAAGUCAGCGGUGAAAGUUUGUGGCUCAACCAUAAAAUUGCCGUUGAAACUGGAAGUCUUGAGUGUGUUUGAGGUAUGCGGAAUGCGUGGUGUAGCGGUGAAAUGCAUAGAUAUCACGCAGAACUCCGAUUGCGAAGGCAGCUUACUGGGCCAUAACUGACGCUGAGGCACGAAAGCGUGGGGAUCAAACAGGAUUAGAUACCCUGGUAGUC
rnacentral:rRNA from 1 species